AUGUGGUGCUUAUGGAAAGCAAGGAAUGAUAUACUCUUCCAGAGAAAAGAUGUGUCUCCUUUCCAGAUCUUUUUUGUAGCACAUGCUAUCACAAAUAGCUUAUCUUUAGAAGUAAGGACAUUAAAACAGAGAAAGAUAACCACUGAAAAUCACAUGAUAAAUUCUCAGGAGAAAGAAAAUCAGAGACAGGGAAUUACGAUUGAUAGUAUCAUGCUUCCAGAUUCAGUCAAAAUUUACACAAAUGCAGCCUGGCAUGAACUAAGAAAUUUUGACACUAUUGAAAGUGUAAGAACAGGAAUUGGUAUUUUUUUGCAGGUACAUCAGAGAGACCAAAAGAUGGAAGCUACAAUCUCAGCGACUAUUGAACACUCACAAUCAACAAUUCAAGCAGAGGCACAUGGAAUCAAUCUAGCGGCAAUCAUUAUCAACAUGCUAAAUAUUCAACAAGCAGCCAUUUUAACGGACAAUCUUACUCUUGCAAAAGCAGCAGCAACAAGAUCUCCUAAUUCUCAACCUGGACACUGGCAAAUAAGGAGCAUUCUGACAAACUUCUGUAAUAACAAUGCAACAAAACAGGUUCAGGUGUUUCAUAUUCCUAGAAGUCAUAAUUGUGAGGCUCAUGUAGCAGCCAAGUUAACUCAGUCUCAGAAUAUAUUUCCUGAACAGAGUUUUAGGAUAAGCUGUUGUAAUGUUCAGCAUAAAAAAUGGCAUUGCCCCCUAAUUCAAAUCAUUGCAGACAUUGCUAAUCAGGGAUAUGUCAUUACCCAUGUAAACUGCAGAUAA
rnacentral:rRNA from 1 species